GGCCGCAGUAUUCUAACUGUGCAAAGGUAGCAUAAUCAUUAGUCUUUUAAUUGAAGGCUGGUAUGAACGGUUGGACGAAGUAUAAGCUGUUUCAUAUAAAUUUUUAUUAGAAUUUUAUAUUUUAGUCAAAAAGCUAAAAUUUUAUUAAAAGACGAGAAGACCCUAUAAAUCUUUAUAUUUAUUUUUAUUUAAGUUUUUUGGAAUAUAUUUUAUUUUUUUAAAAGUAAUUAUUUUGUUGGGGUGAUGUUAAAAUUUGAUGAACUUUUAAUUUUGAGUUACAUUAAUUUAUGAUUUAUUGAUCCAUUAAUAAUGAUUAUAAAAUUAAGUUACUUUAGGGAUAACAGCG
rnacentral:rRNA from 1 species